rnacentral:rRNA from 1 species
UAAGGAAUAUUGGACAAUGGAGGCAACUCUGAUCCAGCCAUGCCGCGUGAAGGAAUAAGGCCCUAUGGGUUGUAAACUUCUUUUAGACGGGACAAAACCCCUUUACGUGUAAAGGGUUGAUGGUACUGUCAGAAUAAGCACCGGCUAACUUCGUGCCAGCAGCCGCGGUAAUACGAAGGAUGCAAGCGUUAUCCGGAAUUAUUGGGUUUAAAGGGUGCGUAGGCGGACUAAUAAGUCAGUGGUGAAAGCCUGCAGCUUAACUGCAGAAUUGCCAUUGAUACUGUUAGUCUUGAGUACAGUUGAGGUAGGCGGAAUGUGUCAUGUAGCGGUGAAAUGCUUAGAUAUGACACAGAACACCGAUUGCGAAGGCAGCUUGCUAAGCUGUAACUGACGCUGAGGCACGAAAGCGUGGGGAGCAAACA